rnacentral:rRNA from 1 species
AUUGAACGCUGGCGGCAGGCCUAACACAUGCAAGUCGAGCGAGCGGCGGACGGGUGAGUAAUGUCUGGGAAACUGCCUGAUGGAGGGGGAUAACUCCUGGAAACGGUAGCUAAUACCGCAUACCAUCAGAUGUGCCCAGAUGGGAUUAGCUAGUAGGUGGGGUAAUGGCUCACCUAGGCGAAGAUCCCCAGCUGGUCUGAGAGGAUGACAAGCCACACUGGAACUGAGACACGGGACAGAAUCCUACGGGAGGCAGAAGUGGGGAAUAGGGCACAAUGGGGGCAAGACUGAUGCAGCCAGGCCGCGUGUGGGAAGAAGGCCUUCGGGUUGUAAAGUACUGUCAGCGGGGAGGCGUUACCCGCAGAAGAAGCACCGGCUAACUCCGUGCCAGCAGCCGCGGUAAUUC